AGGAAGAAGAAAAUUUGGAACUCAAAAUUUUAUUAAAAAUCAAUGUUAAAAAUUGUCUUUCAACUCUGAGAUACCACUACACACCUCUCAGAUUGGCUAAGAUGACAGGAAAAGAUAAUUGCGAAAGUUGGAGGGGAUGUGGAAAAACUGGGAUAUGGAUAUAUUGUUGGUGGAAUUGUGAAUGGAUCCAGCCAUUCUGGAGAGCAAUUUGGAACUAUGCUCAAAAAGUUAUCAAACUGUACAUACCCUUUGACCCAGCAGUGUUUCUGCUUAAAGGAGGGAAAGGGACCCACAUGUGCAAAAAUGUUUGUGGCAGCCCUCUUUGUAGUGGCAAGAACCUGGAAACUGAGUGGAUGCCCAUCAAUUGGAGAAUGGCUGAAUAAAUUAUGGCAUAUGAAUGUUAUGGAAUAUUAUUGUUCUGUAAGAAAUAACCAGCAGGAUGAAUACAGAGAGGCUUGGAGAGACUUAAAUGAACUGAUGCUAAGUGAAAUGAGCAGAACAAGGAGAUCAUUAUACACUUCAACAAGACUAUAUGAUGAUCAGCUCUGAUGGAUGUGGCUCUCUUCAACAAUGAGAUGAUUCAAACCAUUUCCAAUUGUUUAGUAAUGAAGAGAAUCAGCUAUACCCAGAGAAAGAAAUAUGGGAAAUGAGUGAGGACCACAACAUAGCAUUUCCACUCUUUCUGUAACUGUUUGCUUACAUUUUUCUUUUUUUUCCCUCAGUUUCUUAAACUUUCUUUCUAGAGACGAUUUUUCUUGUGCAGCAAAGUAACUGUAUAAAUAUGUAUACAUAUAUUGGAUUCAACAUAUACUCUAACAUAUUUAACAUAUAUUGGACUACCUGUCAUCUAGGAGAGGGGAAGUGGGGGGAAGGAGGGGAAAAGUUGGAACAAAAAAAACAAAUAAAAGUUUUAUACCCCUCCCCCCAAAAAUUGUCUUUAUACAUAAUAGGAAAAAAUAAAAUAUUCUUCAAAAAUAUUUAGUAGUAUUUUAUUUUUUCACAUACAUGUAAAGAUAGUUUUCUUUUUUUGUAAUAUUUUGAGUUCCAAUUUGUUUCCUUUCCUCCCUCCAUCCCUCCCUUUAUCCCUUUCCCCAAGAUAGUAAGCAAUCUGAUGUAGAUUAUACAUAUACAAUCAUUUUACAAAACUUUUGUGUUCCAAAAUUUUCUCCCUCUUUCCCUCCUCUCCUCUCCCCAAGACAGCAAGCAAUCCGAUAUUGGUUAAACAUGUGCAAUCCUUCUAAACAUCCAAAAUACUAUUUGAAAGGAAAAAAUAAACAUAAAAACAGCACAGAGCAAACAGAAGGAGGGAAAAUCUUUGUAUUGCAACCUAAACUUCCCAGCUUCAAUAUGUUUGAGUAAAAUAUGAUUUUGAAAAAUGGAAUUUACAAUUUAUUAAGUAUAUAGUCAUUCUGAAAUAAAUCAUUAGCCACAUUAAACUGUAUGAGGAACCAAAACCCAACAAUUUUUUAAUAUUCUGCUCUAUUUUCAAGUACCAGAAAUGAAGCAAUCUAUGUAUCAUAAUAAGAUUCAAGAAAUAAUAAAUCAUUCUGACAGUAAUUACAAGAAUGUGCUUGUUUGUUUUUGUUUUUGUUUUUCAGAUUCUACAUUCUUAAAGAUUUCAAACACUUUCCAUGUUACUUCACCAAUUCACUUAGAUGACUUUUUCAGUGAUUUACUUGCUGGCGCCGUUGAGAGCAGUGCCACGGAGGAGAGCUGAGGCAGGACAACAUAAAAAGCCGGUAUGUAAGCGGGAGUGAGGGGGCAUGAUGGAGGAUAAAAGAAGAACUCAGGGGGCAUGAUGGAGGAUGAAAGAACUCAGCCAGCACUCACCGCGCUAAAGAAAUGAAGAACUUCCUUGCAGAGAGAAGAAUAGAUCAAGUAAUGAUUCCUGCAGGAAUGACUGCCUAUCUCCAGACCCUUGAUAUUGCAAUAAACAAGCCAUUCAAGGACCAUUUGCGCAUGGAAGUCAAUGACUACAUUGAAAAUAGAAGAAAUCAGUGUGGAAACUUUGUGAAGCCCUGUCUGCAAGAAGUCAAGACUUAGGUGAAGAAGUCAUGGGAUAAAAUUAUUGAUAGCCGUCGCCAAGGCACUAUGAGCAGGUUACCUGGACAAGACAUGUUCAUUUAAAGAGAGCUAUAUUGCUGGACAUGACAGAUUGGGGCCACUUCUUCUGAAGGAAAUAGAGGCGCAAGACAUCCAGGAUGGAAUUCAGGGUAUGGACACUUAUGACGAUGUUGUUGAAGAAGAUGACAUGAUCAUUAUUGAAUAAAGGUACUUUUUUUUGUUCA